CUUGGUCAUUUAGAGGAAGUAAAAGUCGUAACAAGGUUUCCGUAGGUGAACCUGCGGAAGGAUCAUUAAUAAGUCGUCCUAUACCCCCUUCGUAGGGUAGGACAGUUUCCUCGCGCUUGGAUCCGGGUAGCCUCGAAAGGGGAGGCCGGAUUUCUUUAUAGAAAGUGGAGUGCAAUAAGCCCACCGGGCCGGCACCGAGGGGCGGUUAAAAUCCCGCGAGAACUCUCGUCACCAAGUCCAUCUAUAUGUAAGCUCGCGAUGGUGGGUAGUAAUACCGCCUUAGGGAGACGUGAUUUACACCCGUGUCUACCUUCUUUGUUGCUUUGGCGGGCCGCCGCAAGGCGUUGGCUCCGGCUGACCGCGCCCGCCAGAGGACCCAAACUCUUCUGUUAAUAACGUCUGAGUACUAUAUAAUAUUUAAAACUUUCAACAACGGAUCUCUUGGUUCUGGCAUCGAUGAAGAACGCAGCGAAAUGCGAUAAGUAAUGUGAAUUGCAGAAUUCAGUGAAUCAUCGAAUCUUUGAACGCACAUUGCGCCCCUUGGUAUUCCGAGGGGCAUGCCUGUUCGAGCGUCAUUAUGACCAAUCAAGCUCAGCUUGGUGUUGGGGUUCGCGGUUCCGCGGCCCUUAAAAUCAGUGGCGGUGCCGCCCGGCUCUAAGCGUAGUAAUUUUCUCGCUAUGGGGUCCGGGUGGUCUCCUCCAGAACUCCCCCAAUCUUACGGUUGACCUCGGAUCAGGUAGGGAUACCCGCUGAACUUAAGCAUAUCAAUAAGCGGAGGA
rnacentral:rRNA from 1 species